rnacentral:rRNA from 1 species
ACGUAGGGACCAAGCGUUGUACGGAUUUACUGGGCGUAAAGGGCGCGUAGGCGGCGUGUUAAGUCAGCUGUGAAAUCUCCGAGCUUAACUCGGAACGGUCAGCUGAUACUGAUCUGCUAGAGUGCGGAAGGGGCAAUCGGAAUUCUUGGUGUAGCGGUGAAAUGCGUAGAUAUCAAGAGGAACACCUGAGGUGAAGACGGGUUGCUGGGCCGACACUGACGCUGAGUGCGCGAAAGCCAGGGGAGCAAACGGGA